UUUGCGGGCCGGGCCCCUCUGGCGUGGCGCAAGCGGCGGUUUCAUACCACCAACAGCGCCUCGUGAUGUCGGACCGCAUCG
rfam:Novosphingobium sp. Rr 2-17 contig10, whole genome shotgun sequence.